rnacentral:rRNA from 1 species
UGGGGGAUAUUGCACAAUGGGCGAAAGCCUGAUGCAGCGACGCCGCGUGGGGGAUGAAGGCCUUCGGGUUGUAAACUUCUUUUGCUCUGAACAAGGCAUGCCUUUGGGGUGUGUUGAGUGUAGGGGUUGAUUAGCGCCGGCUAACUACGUGCCAGCAGCCGCGGUAAUACGUUGGGCGCGAGCGUUGUCCGGAAUUAUUGGGCGUAAAGGGCUUGUAGGUGGCUGGUUGCGUCUGUCGUGAAAGCUCAUGGCUUAACUGUGGGUUUGCGGUGGGUACGGGCUGGCUUGAGUGCAGUAGGGGAGGCUGGAAUUCCUGGUGUAGCGGUGGAAUGCGCAGAUAUCAGGAGGAAUACCGGUGGCGAAGGCGGGUCUCUGGGCUGUUACUGACGCUGAGGAGCGAAAGCGUGGGGAGCGAACAGG